UAGAGGGAAAAUGAGAGUAAGAGAGAGAGGGGGUCUUAGCCAUCUGAUGGUUUGUUGGUUUGUAUGUCAAAGCUUCGCAAUAAUGUUGCUACUAAUUCAUGCGAUCAAUAACAGGAGCAGUCCCGAAAUAUUACAACCACGACCUAGAGCAGUAACACUUAAACACUUUACAAACUAAGCACGCUGAAAAUAGACUUCUGCAGAGGUGCACACAGUAUAAAACUGCCGCGACAACUGAGAGCUCCCACACAGAGCCGGAAGAGCUAUCUUUAUUUUCUCCUUCCUGACUGCUGAUGCGCUCUUAAAGUGUCAGCGCACGGUGAAGGCUUCGUGCAGGAUUUCGCCACAAAGUAAAUGGAGUUUCUGUGGGGGGACUCAAAGCCACUGGCCCUCUUGUUCUUCUGUGCCAGAGACGUCCCGAACCGGAGAGCUUCAUACACAGGGUCCACUUUACUGCCACAAGCUGGGAGGAGACAUUGAGAAAACCUAUUUUCAGUCAAAGCAAUCACACAACAAGAACCCCUACAUGACAGUCUAGCUGUGUAUCAAUGUAUCCUACUGUUCAUCUUGUCCUUUUGAAAGGAAUAUAAAGUCCUUUGUCUUGUCUCAAUAAAUGAUGAAGGCAUUUGCCGAAACGUG